rnacentral:rRNA from 1 species
AACGGUAGCUAAUACCGCAUAAUGUCGCAAGACCAAAGUGGGGGACCUUCGGGCCUCAUGCCAUCAGAUGUGCCCAGAUGGGAUUAGCUUGUAGGUGGGGUAACGGCUCACCUAGGCGACGAUCCCUAGCUGGUCUGAGAGGAUGACCAGCCACACUGGAACUGAGACACGGUCCAGACUCCUACGGGAGGCAGCAGUGGGGAAUAUUGCACAAUGGGCGCAAGCCUGAUGCAGCCAUGCCGCGUGUGUGAAGAAGGCCUUCGGGUUGUAAAGCACUUUCAGCGGGGAGGAAGGCGGUGAGGUUAAUAACCUCAUCGAUUGACGUUACCCGCAGAAGAAGCACCGGCUAACUCCGUGCCAGCAGCCGCGGUAAUACGGAGGGUGCAAGCGUUAAUCGGAAUUACUGGGCGUAAAGCGCACGCAGGCGGUCUGUCAAGUCGGAUGUGAAAUCCCCGGGCUUAACCUGGGAACUGCAUUCGAAACUGGCAGGCUAGAGUCUUGUAGAGGGGGGUAGAAUUCCAGGUGUAGCGGUGAAAUGCGUAGAGAUCUGGAGGAAUACCGGUGGCGAAGGCGGCCCCCUGGACAAAGACUGACGCUCAGGUGCGAAAGCGUGGGGAGCAAACAGGAUUAGAUACCCUGGUAGUCCACGCCGUAAACGAUGUCGAUUUGGAGGUUGUGCCCUUGAGGCGUGGCUUCCGGAGCUAACGCGUUAAAUCGACCGCCUGGGGAGUACGGCCGCAAGGUUAAAACUCAAAUGAAUUGACGGGGGCCCGCACAAGCGGUGGAGCAUGUGGUUUAAUUCGAUGCAACGCGAAGAACCUUACCUGGUCUUGACAUCCACAGAACUUUCCAGAGAUGGAUUGGUGCCUUCGGGAACUGUGAGACAGGUGCUGCAUGGCUGUCGUCAGCUCGUGUUGUGAAAUGUUGGGUUAAGUCCCGCAACGAGCGCAACCCUUAUCCUUUGUUGCCAGCGGUCCGGCCGGGAACUCAAAGGAGACUGCCAGUGAUAAACUGGAGGAAGGUGGGGAUGACGUCAAGUCAUCAUGGCCCUUACGACCAGGGCUACACACGUGCUACAAUGGCAUAUACAAAGAGAAGCGACCUCGCGAGAGCAAGCGGACCUCAUAAAGUAUGUCGUAGUCCGGAUUGGAGUCUGCAACUCGACUCCAUGAAGUCGGAAUCGCUAGUAAUCGUAGAUCAGAAUGCUACGGUGAAUACGUUCCCGGGCCUUGUACACACCGCCCGUCACACCAUGGGAGUGGGUUGCAAAAGAAGUAGGUAGCUUAACCUUCGGGAGGGCGCUUACCACUUUGUGAUUCAUGACUGGGGUGAAGUCGUAACAAGGUAACCGUAGGGGAACCUGCGGUUGGAUCACCU